GCUAAAAUUAAACAAAUUUAAUGAUGAUUCCAUCAUAACCAAGUUAUUUCUCGUCUCUGAAAUUAUUUUAUGACUGAGAAAAGUGAUCGUUGCUGAAUGAUAAAUUACGUUGAUAAUACAUUCAGAAUUAAACUUAGCUAAUCAUCCGCAUUUCUCUUUUUAUUUCAGAUGCGAAACACACGUAAGGUACCUUAGCACCUUCAGGAAUUUCAAAAGAAUCCUAUACCGAAACUCUGACGAUGAAUCAAAUAAAUUGUGUUCAAUUAGGAUUCGAGAAACUUGGCAUUAUUUCGGAUGGUCGUUUCAAAUUACUAAUCACCGUUUGAUUUCAUCGAAUUUUUGCUUCAGAGUUAUCUCACUGAAACUUCGACAGGAAGAACUUAAUUAUUUGCUCUAAGUUUAAAACUAUGCAGCAACAAAGCUUCCUUUCUGAUCAUCAUUGGAUCUUAUGGCUGCUGUUACCAGGCUAGCAGUUCAAAACUGAAUGAAGGCUCAAACAAAAGGUAUCAAUCAAGCAACACAUCAUCAUUUUUUCGAAACCGCUUUGAAACACCGAACAUCAUACCUGUUUUGAAGGACAUAAAACUUGAGUUGAUGAAGCAAAGCGUAGUCACUCAACGACGACAUUGGAUCAGUAUCCAUCAAUGAAAGGUCUUCUACCGUAAUCUUCGGCUUCCGAACGGAUCAACCGUAAUAUUCGGCUUCCGGAAAAUAAGACAGCAUUGAUCGCUGAUCAGUGUCUUUGAAAGUAGGCCUAAGUGUGAGUAAAUAUUUCUGAAUACAGAUUUCUUUAUUUUUAA